rnacentral:rRNA from 1 species
AGAACGAACGCUGGCGGCAGGCCUAAAACAUGCAAGUCGAGCGCCCAGCAAUGGGAGCGGCGGACGGGUGAGUAACACGUGGGAACGUACCUUUCGGUUCGGAACAACUCAGGGAAACUUGAGCUAAUGCCGAAAUUCGCCCUAACGGGGAAAGAUUUAUCGCCGAAAGAUCGGCCCGCGUAAGAUUAGCUAGUUGGUGAGGUAACGGCCCACCAAGGCGACGAUCUUUAGCUGGUUUGAGAGAACGACCAGCCACACUGGGACUGAGACACGGCCCAGACUCCUACGGGAGGCAGCAGUUAGGAAUCUUGGACAAUGGGGGAAACCCUGAUCCAGCCAUGCCGCGUGAGUGAUGAAGGCCUUCGGGUUGUAAAACUCUUUCGACGGGGACGAUAAUGACGGUACCCGUAGAAGAAGCUCCGGCUAACUUCGUAGCCAGCAGCCGC